AUUUUAUUUUAAGGCAAUAUCGCUUAGCCCUUGUCCAAGCAAGGCUAGUUUCUGUGGUGGGAAAACAUUUAAUCAGUCCCUGCUUUCACAUUACAUCAGCGCAGUGAACAUGGAAGUAGUCGAGCGACCGGAGCGUCGAGGGAAGCAGUUGACAGUCCAGAACCAGUCUAGAAGGUCAUGCAUGAGGAACUCAUUGAACUUGAAACACAACACAGGGACUGAGUGCUAUUGGAGGGCAUGAGUUAGAUAAGUGCAACAGGACAAUCGAUCAAAAAUCUUGUAAGGAAGUUUGCACAGUUUACGCUGCCAGGUGCUAAGAUGAUGCGAGAAAUGUUGCCAUGUGUCCAGAUGUUUGUAUAAAACAUCAAAUGGUGCCGCUUUUAUGUGGCAGAUGUUGUUUACUGCCCGCCUCCGAGGAUCUUCAUCAUGGCUUUUUGCCACUGGAUAUCAUUUAUUCACAAUUAGUCAGCAAGAAAGCAAGCAAAGUCAGAGAGAGGAGAGUCAGGGAGAUCUGCAUUUGAUACUCGUCGUUAAGGGCUCUUCUGAGGAACUCGCUGGGGGAACACGUGAAGAGAAGACAAUAUUUUUGUCAAGGGCUCAUAUAUCUCAUUUAUACUGUAUUUUCUGUUCGCAGCAAUGUUGUUAAUGUAAGCACUGCACAUCAGCUAGCAAUGGUGAAUUUCAUCAAAUUGAAUAUACCUGUAGUGCAGUGAAUUCUACACAUAGGAAUAAUAUUGUUGGUACGUACACCUCUGCUAUUGAAAGAAUGACCCACAAUUGCCUCUGGUCUCUUUUACUCUCGUGGCCACAUCCAGGGAGGUUGGUUACAGUCCCGUGGACCCUAAACAUCUGUAUAUGUGCAACUGUAGUCACAGGAAUAUCACGUUCUAUCAGUACUGUUCACCAGCACGAUGUUCUACAGAGCCAAUGGGCUUUUUUUGUAACACAGCGGCCGGUGUCGGCAGCUGGGGCAUUUCGACUAGGUGAGCACGCAUUUAAGAGACCUAAUUAUUUCGGUCAGACCCCGCGUGGGAUUGACGCCAGGGAAAGCAGGGUGGUAAACUUGCAGAAAAAGGUUCUGAUUGCUUUUGGCAGUGGUGGAAGACGUCAAUGGCUGCCUAACAUAAAGUACAGUAAGUACACAACUAAACAGAGUUAUUUUCGAGAUUUAUAUUGAGAAAAUUAGAGUAUAUGUUAAUCGUAAGUGGUUUUGCUGCUUCCAAAAGAAAGAUUAUAAUUGCCUUUAUUAGUAAUUGAGACUUUAAAUACUGUAUACUAUCAGCGAUGAUCUUGCAACACUAUCAUUUCAGACUCACCUUACAUCCCCUAAAAAAAAAAGUGGCUUAAAGAUUGUUUGACUUUGAAAAAAUCCAGAGGAACUGUACGUCUACAUGCACAUGCAGCAGACUCUCCGUAACUUCCACGAACAACACAGGCUAAACUUACAACAUACAAAUAAAUUACUUCAAAAUACUUCCUUGACACCACAGCUACGUUCUUAUUAGCCAGGUUUUGGCGCCAUCUUGUGACAUCUUAGAGCAUUACAGAAAGAGCACCAAAAAUAACAAAUAGGUAAGUUUAAAGUGAACUCCGAUUGAAAUGACAAAUAGAUUUAAUUUUGCAACUACUGACCUCUACGACUGAAAUACAGUGGUUUAUAUUUAUAAAUUAUUCCUAUGUUUAAAAAAAAAAAUUUGUUUAGACCAUAAUUUGAUACGUCGCUGGCAUGUUUUAGCGUGGGCAAAGCAUUCUGGGAAUGAUGACGUAGAAUGGCUGUUUUGUCAAAUUGUUACGUUGCUGGUCUCUGCGGAGUUAAGCUAGCCACUUGCGAACAACUUUUAUCAUCAGCGAAAAGAGUUAAAAAUGCCAUACUACGCUGCUUUGAGAUGCAAUUUCCAGUCAUGACAGAAUGCAAAAAAAAGGAGUGUUCAUCGCUGCCAGGGGCUGAUACUGUGGCUACUGCGAAAAAGUCCGGGCAUCGGGCAAAUCCCCAUUUGACGUCACUAGCCAGAAUGCACUGUGACGAAAAAACAAUGGCGGCCUAUGUUGAAGGUACGUUUUGUAAAAAUACUAGCGGAUUAGGCGCCCUCCGGGUGUCUUAACCCUCUAGUUCCUGCGGAAAGCCCAAUACUCCAAACCUCAUGAAUAGUUCACAUGCAAUAAUAUUGUACACAUAAACAGUUGAAGGUUUUAUUGCAAUGCUUCAGGAUAGACAAUAUUUUAUUUUUUGUCAUCGUAUUCUCUGCCACUAUACACAAAGCAUUAGAUCUGCCAAUCCUUGAGCAACCAACAAAACUGACCAUGAGAAAAACAUGGAGAAGGCAAAUCCAAUCCAGCAACUUUCAGAGACAAACCUUGUGACUUGUUGAUACUCAUUGCAAAACAAAUUGAUACUGGAAACUGAAGCCUUCUGAAUUGAACUGGUAAAUCAUUAUACAAUGGUAUUCGGGGUCGAACUGCUGUCUCACCUUUAAAAGGACCUGUGAUUAUAAUAGCUUCAAGCACGUUCUAUAUACUUGAAGUUCAAAGUUUAUGUGUCCGUUUUCAAAGAACUUUCUAGAGCAAAAACGUUUUCUUGCACGUUUUUGAACGUUCCUGCACGUUUUUGCACCUUCUGCCAUGUUUUUGUACAUUUUGCACGUUCCUGCACAUUUUGCAAUAAGCCUCCAUCUAUAUACUUAAAGCUCAAACUUUGUGUCUCUGGAGCGGGGACGUUUUCUUGCACGUUUUUGAGCGUUCCUGCACGUUUUUGCACAUUCCGCCACUUUUUUGCACGUUCCUGCACGUUUUGCAAUAAGCCUCCACUUAUAGUACAUGUUUCUGCAUGUUUUUACAUGUCCUUGAUCGCAUGUACUAGUAAGAAUUACCUGUCAUGAUAUGAUAUUAUUAGUUUGGUAUUUAAAGAGGACGUCGAAACCUUGGAGUUGUGCAGGAACAUGCAAAACGUGCGGGAAUGUGCCGCAGCAUGGGGGGGGGGGGGGUGUGCGGGAACGUGCAGGAGCGUUCGGGGACGUGCGGGAUUGCAGUUCUUUGAAAACGGACACACAAACUUUGAGCUUUAAGUAUAUAGAUAUAAAUAUGGAAAUGAUCAUCGAAGUCUUGUUGUUUUGUUACUCAAGUCAAAAUCGAUCAUAUAUACCAAACAUGUCAUUGCUACCAGAGUUCACUUUAACAGAGAGUAGACAAAAAGGCUCAGGGCGUAUUUGUAACAGAUGGAACAAGUGAUUUCUGAUGGCAAAGCUAAUGCCCUCCAAAUGGGGUCUUAAUGAGCGUCAGCUUUGCCAUAGUUGUCGUACCAGCUGUCUUCAUUCAUCAUCGAGAUGAAGAAGUACUUCCAUGCAACAAGGUCUUUGGAUUAUUGCAAGGACAGCACUGUGUUAUUGUGACAUUUUUAGAUUAAUAUGUGGGGGGUGAAAAAUAACAAACUGAUCUGCAGAUAUGCAGCUCUAAACUUCAAUUUACUGACUCAACUCAACGCUAUUUAUAGAGUGCAAAAAACAACACGAGCUGAAACAAAGGGCCGUACAAAAAUCACCUAUAAAUCAAACUUAUAUAACAGAAAUAAUAAUCAUUAUGAUACAUGAAUAAAAUAUUCCUUUUUAAAUAAAAAUGUUAAAUUCUAAUCUUUGAAAACAUGCAACCAAUUCCCUCUCACUUUACUUCACUUUCGUGCUGGCUCCUGUCUCUCACGUUUUUGACUCAGUGCGACAUCUCUCUGUCUCUCUCUCUCUCUCUCUCUCUUGCUCUCUCUGUCUCUCAUUAUUUAAAUACUAACAGUAUAUUGCAAACGAGUCCUCAUCUUUAGUUGGGCACUUACUGCCGUUACCAUGAGCAGCUGAUCAGCUAUUAACACUGUUAGAAUAAAUGUACAUUUGUUAUCCCAUAUUUACUCUUAUAAUAUUUUCAAAGCAUGCAUUUAGCAGUAUAAUGUUGAUUGUAUCAUAAAAGUUGAUGUUGUCUGUGAAGAGGACUGUGCCCUCAUCAAAAGAUAGCGACUGGAACAUUUUGCGCUCAAAGGUUGAAGCAAUCAGCGCUGAUGAAGAACACAUCUGCACAAUGAGUCAUGUAUGUGAUUGUUUUACGUUGCUGCUGUGUGUGCCCUUAUCUCAAGAUAAGCAGCAACGUCUGUGUAACUAGGAACCGCCGUGAGAAAAUAAAAAGAGAGGGAUCGGCAGAGUGUGCUCAGAGCGGUAGUUUGAACCUGACAAACACCCACCACUUAAUAGCGACCCAGACCUUUCUCUGCAUCAUCUUGAGGAGUUUACCACUACCACCCAACCCCACAAGCUAGCCUGUCAGAUCUUGACUGCAAUCUUCCAUUAUGCUACUCUUUGUCGUCAAAUCAUCUCGCUAUCAGCCAUUGCAGCUCUUUCAUUGCUCCAUUACAAGCCCGAUGACAAGCUCCUGCCCGAUGACAGCUGGGAUAGCCUCCAGCACGCCCGCGACCCUAGUGAGGAGAAGCGGCUCAGAAAAUGGAUGGAUGGAUGGAUGGAUUGUCCACUGUUGAAUCGAAUCACUUGAAUCAAUCCCGUCUUGUAGUGAUGGAGGCAAUUGAAGUGCUCUAUUUGCACUUGGAAGAACAUUCAGACAGCUUCUGCCAUCCCAAUAAAUAUAUUGGUUCAAAUUUGA